rnacentral:rRNA from 1 species
GGCUCAGGAUGAACGCUGGCGGUAUGCUUAACACAUGCAAGUCGAACGGGAAUCUUAGGAUUCUAGUGGCGGACGGGUGAGUAACGCGUGAGAAUUUGGCUUCAGGUCGGGGACAACAGUUGGAAACGACUGCUAAUACCGGAUAUGCCGAAAGGUGAAAGAUUUAUUGCCUGAAGAUAAGCUCGCGUCUGAUUAGCUAGUUGGUGGGGUAAGAGCCUACCAAGGCGACGAUCAGUAGCUGGUCUGAGAGGAUGAUCAGCCACACUGGGACUGAGACACGGCCCAGACUCCUACGGGAGGCAGCAGUGGGGAAUUUUCCGCAAUGGGCGAAAGCCUGACGGAGCAAUACCGCGUGAGGGAGGAAGGCUCUUGGGUCGUAAACCUCUUUUCUCAGGGAAGAAAAAAAUGACGGUACCUGAGGAAUAAGCAUCGGCUAACUCCGUGCCAGCAGCCGCGGUAAUACGGAGGAUGCAAGCGUUAUCCGGAAUGAUUGGGCGUAAAGGGUCUGUAGGUGGUGCUGUAAGUCUGCUGUUAAAGAGUCACGCUCAACGUGAUAAAAGCGGUGGAAACUACAGGACUAGAGUGCGGUCGGGGCAGAAGGAAUUCCUGGUGUAGCGGUGAAAUGCGUAGAUAUCAGGAAGAACACCGGUGGCGAAAGCGUUCUGCUAGUCCGCAACUGACACUGAGGGACGAAAGCUAGGGGAGCGAAUGGGAUUAGAUACCCCAGUAGUCCUAGCCGUAAACGAUGGAUACUAGGCGUGGCUUGUAUCGACCCGAGCCGUGCCGGAGCUAACGCGUUAAGUAUCCCGCCUGGGGAGUACGCACGCAAGUGUGAAA